CACGCAGUAAACGAUGAUUACUAGCUGUUUGCGAUACACAGUAAGCGGCACAGCGAAAGCGUUAAGUAAUCCACCUGGGGAGUACGCCGGCAACGGUGAAACUCAAAGGAAUUGACGGGGGCCCGCACAAGCGGAGGAACAUGUGGUUUAAUUCGAUGAUACGCGAGGAACCUUACCCGGGUUUGAACGUAGGGAGACAGGGGUGGAAACAUCCUUUUCAGCAAUGACUGCCUACGAGGUGCUGCAUGGUUGUCGUCAGCUCGUGCCGUGGGGUGUCGGCUUAAGUGCCAUAACGAGCGCAACCCUUAUUUUCAGUUACUAACAGGUAAUGCUGAGGACUCUGAAGAGACUGCCAGCGUAAGCUGU
rnacentral:rRNA from 1 species